UAGGGAAUCUUCCGCAAUGGACGCAAGUCUGACGGAGCAACGCCGCGUGAGUGAAGAAGGAUUUCGGUUCGUAAAACUCUGUUGUUAGAGAAGAACAGCGCAUAGAGUAACUGUUAUGCGUGUGACGGUAUCUAACCAGAAAGCCACGGCUAACUACGUGCAAGCAGCCGCGGUAAUACGUAGGUGGCAAGCGUUGUCCGGAUUUAUUGGGCGUAAAGCGAGCGCAGGCGGUCAAUUAAGUCUGAUGUGAAAGCCCCCGGCUCAACCGGGGAGCGUCAUUGGAAACUGGUUGACUUGAGUGCAGAAGAGGAGAGUGGAAUUCCAUGUGUAGCGGUGAAAUGCGUAGAUAUAUGGAGGAACACCAGUGGCGAAGGCGACUCUCUGGUCUGUAACUGACGCUGAGGCUCGAAAGCGUGGGUAGCAAACAGG
rnacentral:rRNA from 1 species